rnacentral:rRNA from 1 species
GACGAACGCUGGCGGCGUGCCUAAUACAUGCAAGUAGGACGCAGUUGCGAACGGGUGAGUAACGCGUAGGUAACUGCCUAUUAGAGGGGGAUAACUAUUGGAAACGAUAGCUAAUACCGCAUACUAGUAGAUGGACCUGCGUUGUAUUAGCUAGUAGGUAGGGUAAUAGCCUACCUAGGAGACGAUACAUAGCCGACCUGGGAGGGUGGUCGGCCACACUGGGACUGAGACACGGCCCAGACUCCUACGGGAUGCAGCAGUAGGGAAUUCUCGGCAAUGGGGGGAACGCUGACCGAGCAACGCCGCGUGAGUGAAGAAGGUGUUCGGAUCGUAAAGCUCUGUUGUUAAGGAAGCGGUACUUAACCAGAAAGGGACGGCUAACUACGUGCCAGCAGCCGCGGUAAUUC